UUCCGCUCCGUCCCCGGCCUUGCACGCACACGCAGCGCCUUCUCCGACCAUUGGGCCCGCGGGAGCGGAGGACGUGGAAGAGCGUCGGCGCGCGCGCGCCACAGCGGCAGGGGCGUGUCCACCGCCGACUCGGCACUCGACGAUUUUCCCAUUGAAGGAAAAAGCAGCCCAGAUCAUGAUGGAGCCUCCUCCACUGUGCAGUGUUAAAACAUCUCCAGUGGGAUCUUCUAGUCAUGCCAUUAUCAUUGGAAGCUAUCAGGACCAUCCAGGUUAAAUUUUUCACCAUCUUUGGUGCUUCCUUGCAAAUUCCAAACGGGCUGUAGUCAGCAUCAGUAAGGGCCUUGAUUUGGGUUGAGGAUCAGCCUGUGUCUUCACGGACAGCCCGUCAGAUCCUUCGGCUUAGUGCAGCAAUGACGUGUUGAGAGCCUUUGCUUGUGCAGCUGAACAGUCCUGCCACGUCCAGAAACAGAAAGCCUUUUUGCUUUUGCCAUCAGGAGAUCAUGACAUUGUGACUGUCUGAAGGACAAUGACAUUAAAGUGAUGUAAAAUGACAUAACUUUGCACAGAUUUAAACUUUUAAAGGCUGUGGUCUUAA